AUUGAACGCUGGCGGCAGGCCUAACACAUGCAAGUCGAACGAGUGGCGGACGGGUGAGUAAUGUCUGGUAAACUGCCUGAUGGAGGGGGAUAACUACUGGAAAAGGUCGCUAAUACCGCAUACCCUCAGAUUAGCCCAUAUGGGAUUGGCUUGUUGGUGGGGUAACGGCUCACCAAGGCGACGAUCCCGAGCUGGUCUGAGAGGAGGACCAGCAACACUGGAACUGAGAAACGGUCCAGACUCCAACGGGAGGCAGCAGUGGGGAAUAGUGCACAAUGGGCGAAAGCCUGAUGCAGCCAUGCCGCGUGUAUGAAGAAGGCCUUCGGGUUGUAAAGUACUUUCAGCGGGGAGGCGUUACCCGCAGAAGAAGCACCGGCUAACUCCGUGCCAGCAGCCGCGGUAAUUC
rnacentral:rRNA from 1 species